GAGUGCUGGUAUUCUCUUCAGGCGAUAGCGGAGGUGUCGGUAAUUUAGAAAACUAGUGUUUGCCGGGUUAAAACGGCAUCCCUAUGCGUAUGCUUAAGCAUAAAAUAUCACUUGUCCAAAUAACCAUAGAGUUCAAUUCUGCAGGAAAUUCACUGACGACUCACUGACCUUGUGAUCUGGAAGAACAAGCGCUUAAGCUGGGUUUACACUGCGAUUUUUUACCAAGAUUUAGCUGUCACGGACAAAAUUCAUCCAUCCACCCAUUUUUCCAUACCGCUUUAUCCUACACAGGGUUGCGGGGAGCCUGAAGCCUGUCCCAGGGGUCUUGGGACAUCGCAGGGCACAAUCUCACACACACAAUCUGGAAAUGCCAUCAGCCUACAGCGCAUGUCUUUGGAUUGGAGUAUAUGAAACUGGAGUACCUGGAGGAAACCCCUGAAGCAUUGGGUGAACGUGAAAACUCUAUGCACACAGGGUGGUGGCGGGAUUUGAACCAUCAAACUCGGAGGUGCGAGGCAAACAGUGAAGUCACACAGUCUAAUCCUGGCUUUAUGAGAGAUACUUUUCCACCUGAAUAGGAUGGCGUAGAUCGUUCUUCAGGAUCAAAGGCUGAUCAUUCAGAGCCCCGGAAGCUAUCUUUACCUCACUUUAACAACCACCUUCUUUUGUUCCUAAGCCUCACAAAUCCCAUCACUCAGCAUCUCUCCUGACAGGCAAUGAGUUUGAAAUGAAUUGCACCAGUUUUUGCUCACGUUUGAAAGGUUUCGUGGUUCCAUAAAGCACCCGCAUCCUCCGCUUCCUGCCUUUUUUGUCACGCUGCCAACAUGCCUUGCGGUGCACGGCGCAUCGUUACGGUGUGCAGAGGUGGAAUGUUUUCAAGCUGAGAAACGCACAGUAGAAAAGCCCCGUGGCGCACAGAGGGACAUUAAUCGCAUAACGAAUCCGGGUGUGAUAGUGGGAGUGCGCGCGGCAUCGGGCUGCUGUGAAGUGUGAAGGAACGAGAGAGGAGUUGGGAAGGCCUGGGCCUGUUUUACUUACCUGGAGGCAGACGUUCCAGGGAUCACCUCGUAGACGUACACUCCUGAACUGACAUCUGGGAAAUCGGUCUCCCUCUCUUUCAGGAGUCUGCGAGGAACUGCCGUAUCCGGUCCGAGGGAAUUGCAAAUGAUAUUCCUGCCGUGACCUUCAGCGUGUUUAUGCCGAUGACGUCUCCAUCCUUGAAACACAAAAUGGACAGCAUAAUAGCCAAAUAGCAUCAAAUGAAUGAACGGUACGGCCUUGGGAAACAUAAAGGCCACCCCGGACCACUUGUUUGAGACGUGCGAUCCCAAAUUACACCGCUACGGAAAGUUCUUUCCAUUUUAAUCAGAAAACAGAAAUAGAACAACCUGUUACCUUGGGCUCGCGAGCAUUUUAAACUGAUGGAUGCAUCAACGAAAUGCAGCAGUAUGAAAAAUGUGAUUCAUUAAGGGCGCAUAAUGAUAGUGUCGUUCUGGCCUUAGCCUGGUUUUUCAGACAGCCGUGUCAUUUGGACUUAUGUACCCCUGCUGCUUUAUUCUAAUAAAUGACUCUGUGUGUGAGGACAUUUUAAAGCCCUUAUUAGUGGCGUUAGGUGUGUUAAUUCUUUCAAAUGUGGUUCGAGAUGUGAGAAACAUAUAUGGCUAUCACAUUCAAGUACACCAUCCACCUCACAAAAACAAAAUGAAUCCCUCUUGCGCAUCCUGUUUGACAUUCAGCAUUAACAGUGUUAUGCGAUAUCACUAUAUAUUUCAUACCACUGCACAGUUGAAUUCUUGAAUGUAAUUGGUCAGAAGGUAUUGAUUAAUUGUCCUUAAUAGCAGCCAUGAUAGUAGUGCAGUUUCAUAUGAAUGCACUUGUUCAUAAAAUGUUAUCAUUUCUAUAGUAACAGCUAACAAGCAGGCACUUGUAAGGUGGACGCUCCACAAAAUUGGAUUUAAAAAAUCAUGUUAUUUCACAAACACACACACACAAAAAACUUUGAAGGAAAAUUGUUGAAGGAAAUUGUGAAGAUUUAUGGAAGGAGUCUUCAGUGUCACCGCUUUGUAACAGUCGGUUUUCGGUAACAUGACAAGCUGCAUUUUUGUUGUUGUUGUUGUUGUUGUAUUAACUUCAAGAGAAAAAAAGAGAGGCUGGUGAAGAAACGUCUGUUUAUGGCUGCUAUAACAUAAGUGUUAAUAUCUGUUAACUAAUGCGUUUACUUCAAAUGUAACUAUAAAUGGAUAAAAAGUACAAUAUGUCAUUAAUACAAAAUAAAAAAACAAAACAAAUAUCUGGUAAAUUGCUUUGGAAUAAAACCCUUUGUAAUGUGCUGUUAUUGUUUGGGUUGCAUUGCUACAUUGAUUAUUUACUCAGUACAGACCAUGUGGCCAAAUUUAAUCUGAACUCUGCUCUAGGUUAUUUGUUUCCAGACCAAAAGACAAACCGAACCAUGAACAUCAGAAUAAACACAUCAUAAGUAAUAUUAUCAAAAUUAAUACAGUAAGUUAAUUGGUGUUUAGUUAAGAGUUAAUGUAAUACACCUUCAUUGACUCCAUGAUCAAUCCAAGACUAAAAAUAUCCUCAUAAAUGAGCAAAAAGGAACACUGUUGAUGAUAAAAACUUGAUAACUUACUGAACUCUGGUCUCUAGGUUUCAAAAUGAAAAGUUUCAGCCUCAGACAACAACCAAAAACAUGUUCACUAAUGUGUUGUUCAUGUUGGUCAUCAUAGCUUUGAUUUUACUUACGAUCAGUCCAUCUCAAUCGGUCCAAUAAUUGUAAAGUUGGUUGCUUUUACCGUUUUUUUAAUUUUUCUAAUUUAUUUUCAGUGAUUACCUCUAUGUACACUAAUUUUUUUUUUUUUUUUUUUUUUUU